rnacentral:rRNA from 1 species
UACGAAGGGGGCUAGCGUUGCUCGGAAUCACUGGGCGUAAAGGGUGCGUAGGCGGGUCUUUAAGUCAGGGGUGAAAUCCUGGAGCUCAACUCCAGAACUGCCUUUGAUACUGAAGAUCUUGAGUUCGGGAGAGGUGAGUGGAACUGCGAGUGUAGAGGUGAAAUUCGUAGAUAUUCGCAAGAACACCAGUGGCGAAGGCGGCUCACUGGCUCGUAUCUGACGCUCAGGCGCGACAGCGUGGGGAUCAAACAGG